AGCUUAACUUGGGAACUGCCUUUGAAACUACNAGACUAGAGUGUGUCNGAGGGGGGUAGAAUUCCNCCGUGUAGCAGUGANGUGGGGNGNGAUGUGGAGGAAUAUCNAUGGNCGAAGGCAGCCCCCUGGGAUAACACUGACCGCUCNUGCACGAAAGCUGGGGAGCNAACAGGAUUAGAUACCCCUGGUAGUCCCACGCCCUAAACGAUGUCAACUAGUUGUUGGUGGAGUAAGAUCCCAUGAGUAACGUAGCCUAACGCGUGAAGUUGACCGCCUGGGGAGUACGGUCCGCAAGAUUNANNGUCAAAGGAAUUGACGGGGGCCCCGCACAAGCCGGUGGAUUAUGUGGAUUAAUUCNAUGCAACGCCGAAAAACCUUACCUGGNCCUUGACAUGUACCGAAUUUAGCAGAGAUGCUUUAGUGGCUCGUAAGAGAGCGGUAACACAGGUGCUGCAUGGCUGUCNUCAGCUCGUGUCGUGAGAUGUUGGGUUAAGUCCCGCNACGAGCNCAACCCUUGCCAUUAAUUGCCAUCAUUUAGUUGGGCACUUUAAUGGGACUGGCCGGUGACAAACCGGANGAAGGUGGGGAUGACCUCCAGUCCUCNUGGNCCUUAUGGGCCGGGCUUCCCACCUAAUACAUGGNUCCGUACNNAGGGCUGCUAACCCCCAGGGGGUGCCAUCUCAAAAACCAUCUANUCCCGAUUGUUGUCUGCACUCCACGCUGAGUCCGAAUCCUAGUAUCCCGGAUCAAUGUCCCG
rnacentral:rRNA from 1 species